GCGCCUCGUUCUGUGUGUGGGUGGGGCUUAGAGAAGCAGCAGCAGUACUACUGAGCUGACUGAAAGACCGGAAUGACCGAUCUGACGGUAGGACGGAGAGAUGGCAGAGGGAAGUGACGGAGUAGGAAGUGAGAUGGAGGAGGGAGUUUGGAAUAUUGCAGGUGAACAGCGUCUGAACAGGAAAAAACGGAAGAAAGUAGCAAAGGAGGCAGCAAGGAGAGGCGAUUAUGACUCAUCGGUUUCGACUAGUGAAGGGGAGCAAAGUGCAAGGCCAAAGCAAAUUGAGGAAUACAAAGUAAUCAUUAGAAUGACACAGGAAGGACAAUCGUUUGGUGAGUGGAGCCCAGUUAAACUGACAAAAGCCAUCCAUAAAGUUCUUGGGGAAGUAAAAAGGGUGAAAGUUCUGCGAAGUGGGGCAUUGCUGGUCCUGUGUAGGGAUGGGGCACAGCAAGGGAAAGCAAUAAGAAUGAGUAGAAUGGAGGGAAAGUCUGUAGUGUGCUCGAUGCCAGAAGUGAGGAGAGUGGCUGUGGGGGUUAUAUCAAAUAUUCCCACGGCUAUAACAUGUGAUGAGAUCAGAGAUAAUAUAGAGGGGGCAAAAGUGCUGGAAGUACAGAGACUAAAAACAAACAGAAACGGAGAGAAGACGGACAGUCUCUCUGUCAAAAUCAGGUUUGA